rnacentral:lncRNA from 1 species
CCAACCAACAAUAACCCAAUUACCCAUUCCCGUUAUUCUCACUUUAAUGUCCCUAAAACAACUAACAUAAGGGACCUAGUCUAAGAAUAUUUCAUCGGGGCGACAACACAUGCUUCGGGGGUACCUCAGCAAUAUAAGUCAAAUAAGGCAACCAUGAGGGGGAUGGAGUACAGCGAAUGAACACCCAAGUUCAUUAACACCUACAGGUGGCGAACCUGCUAAUGUUUCCACAAGACUGUCUAGAAUAGCCAGUGGUCGUCAUCUAAACUCCGCUAGAUGACUCAAUCAAACAACAACGAGGCCUCUCAUCUGUUUAUUACACACCAACUGUCUACCCAUGUUCUACCCAACAUAUUAGUAGAUAAAAAUAUACAUUUGUAUACAUAGUUUAAAGAAAACCUGUAUAGCAUGCUUUAAUCAACACAUAUAUCACAUAACAGAUGAGGCACACACACACAUAACACAUAUCUCAUAAAGAAAUAAGCAGAUCUAUAAGAUAGAAGAGAGUGAAUACUCAUUCACACAUAACACAACCAAAUAUAUACACAUAGCACGUAUUUUUAUAUAAAAUACUUCGUAUUAUUGUAUUAGAAGAAAUAACUACACACUCACUUGAUCAGAAGAUGAUCGGACAGCACUACGGCUUAUAGAAGUAGUAAUCCACAGCAGAUCUGGAAGAUCUUCUCGAAAAUCGAACUUCUCGCGGGCAGAGCUUCGACUCGGGAACCGCACUUUUCGGGAUCUUCAGGAUCUCGGGACUUGCCUCGGGGCUAGAGUAUGAUACCGGGACUUCGGGGUAGCUUCGGGGGUUUUUGCACAGAGCUUCGACACGAAAACGAGAGGGAAUUGGCAAAAAUACCCGGAACCCUCGCAUCCUAUUUAUAGGAGGCUGGAGCCUCGGAGUACGCGGGGCGUACUGCGUUACGCGGGGCGUACUGCCCAAAACGUCAUUGCUUACGUAUCCGAAGUGCUCGAGUGCGAGUGUCGACAUCCCUCGGAGUACGCGGGGCGUACUCGAGUACGCGGGGCGUACCUCGGAUCAGAUCGGUGACUCCUUCGGAUAAUGCUUCCGAAUUUUGAAUUAAAAAUAAAUACAAAAUGAUUAAUAAACUUCGGAAAUUCAUAACUUCUUCAUACGAACUCCGUUUUCGACGUUCUUUAUAUCCACGCGAAGGUGAGACCACGCUCUACGACUUUCGUUUAGACUCCGUCGGCUAAUUUUGACUUUAUUUUUAUUAAUUAUUUUUAAUAGGCCGGGACAGAAACUUUCGUUAUAAAUUCAUAACUUCUUCGUUUGACGUCCGUUCUCGCCUAACUUUUUAUCGUUUCAAUACCAACAAUGAGAUCUUCGAUUCUCAUUUAGAUUGCUUCGGCUAACAACCGCUCGAUCUCAAAUCGAGUAAAACAGGCUGUAUAUCGCUAAGCCGGAACUUCGAUAAAUCAUAACUUCCUCAUACGAAGUCAGAUUUGGGCGUUCUAUAUAUAUUCGGAAACCUCGUUUCAACUACUACAACAUUAACCAAAGAUAUUAAGUUUAUUUUACACUUAAAUUUUGACGCUUAUUUUUAUUCUUAAUUAAUCAAACCACAUAAUUAAGCAAUUAAGCACAAAACACAUAAUACUCAAAUAAUACAAUCUUAUUAUUUCAAAACGGGUUACAAAGGUUAACCUAGACUAUUACAUUGCUAAAAAUGGCAAGCCCGGAAACACAGGCGUUACAAUUCUCUCCACCUUAGAAUGAUUCCGUCCCCGGAAUCACACAUCAACAAACAAAUGCGGAUAGCGACUCAACAUGUCACUCUCCGUCUCCCAGGUGAGAUUCGGCCCAUUCGUGUGUUUCCAUCGGACAAGCACUAACCCAACCAUUUUGCGUCGCAACUUCUUAGUCUUUCGGUCAACAAUUGCCUCUGGUUCUUCAAUCAACCUUUUGUUCUCAUCAAUUCUCAAUUCAGAAAUUGGAAUUAUAUCGGGAACUUCUCCCGUGAACUUCCUCAAAUAACACACAUGAAAGGUGUUGUGAAUUCCAUUCAGUUCUUCGGGUAAUUCGAGCUUGUAAGCUUGAUUCCCAAUCCUCUGAAGGACUUUAAACGGUCCAAUAAACCUUGGACUCAACUUUCCCCUUUUACCAAAUCUUAUAAGUCCCUUCCACGGCGAGACUUUAAGCAAAACCGAAUCUCCAACCUCAAAAGUCAUCGGUCUUCGCUUCUUGUCAGCAUAGCUCUUUUGACGAUCUUGAGCUGCUAACAUUCUUUCCCUAAUUAUUUUCAACUUUUCAGCAGUUUGAUGAACCAUCUCCGGUCCCAUAAACUGCUUUUCCCCAGCCUCAAGCCAACAAGACGGCGUACGACACUUCUGUCCAUACAAAGCUUGAUAAGGUGCCAUCUUAAUGCUCGAGUGAAAACUAUUAUUAUAGGAAAAUUCUACCAACGGUAAAUGUUCAUCCCAAUUACCUAGGAAUUCCAAGGUACAUGCUCUCAGCAUAUCUUCAAGUGUUUGUAUUGUUCUUUCACUCUGACCAUCAGUCUGCGGAUGGUAAGCUGUGCUUAAACAUAACUUGGUACCCAUUUCCUCUUGUAGACUUUUCCAAAACCUUGAGGUGAAACGGCUAUCACGAUCCGAUACAAUCGUUAACGGAACACCGUGAAGCCUCACAAUUUCCUUCACGUAAGAAUUCGCAAGCUUUUCCAUAGACCAUUUCUCCCUGGCCGCUAUGAAAUGCGCACUCUUAGUGAAUCGAUCAACGACCACCCAAAUCAUGUCGUGACCAUUCUUUGUUCUGGGCAGUUUAGUGACAAAAUCCAUAGCAAUGUCUUCCCACUUACCCAUAGGCACAGGCAAUGGUUCUAAACUCCCGUAAGGUUUCUGAUGUUGUGUCUUGACUCUCGCACAAGUCACACACUCGGCCACAUACUUUGCAACAUCAAGCUUCAUCGUCGGCCACCAGUAGUAGGGUUUCAGGUCCCUAUACAUUUUAGUGCUACCCGGAUGAAUUGAGUACAUGGUUUUGUGAGCUUCUUCCAUCAGAAGAUCCCUAAUUCCUCCUGACUUAGGUACCCAAAUACGAUCUUGGAAUACCUUCAGUCCAUGACCGUUAGUACCAAACACCAACGUUUUACCCAAACGUUCCUCCUUUCGGUCAUUUUUCUCAGAAGCUUCCUCUUGAGCUUUCUUUAUACUUUCCACAAUAGUCGAGACAACUUCAAUUCUCAACGCUCUUGGCCUCUUCCUUUCAAGAUUGACUUUCCGACUGAGAGCAUCAGCAACAACAUUAGCUUUACCGGGGUGGUAAAGUAUCUCGCAGUCGUAGUCUUUAAGUAAUUCUAGCCAGCGUCGUUGCCUCAUAUUCAAUUCUUUCUGAUUAAAGAGGUAUUGGAGACUCUUAUGAUCAGUGAAAAGUUUGCACUUCGUGCCAUAGAGGUAAUGCCUCCAUAUUUUCAGAGCGAAAACUACCGCUGCCAACUCCAAAUCAUGAGUCGGGUAAUUCUUUUCAUGCUCUUUCAGCUGUCGAGACGCAUAUGCUAUCACCUUUUCUCUUUGGGUCAAAACACAACCCAAUCCAACACCAGACGCAUCGCUAUAAACAGCGAAGUCUUCAACUCCAUCGGGUAGAGAAAGUAUCGGUGCCUCGCAUAGCUUCUUCUUUAACUUCUCGAAUGCUUCUUUAUGCUUCUCACUCCAAGCAUAAGUAGCUCCUUUGUGGGUCAAAGCUGUUAAUGGAGUAGCAAUCGAAGAAAAGCCUUGGAUAAACCUUCGGUAAUAUCCGGCUAAUCCUAAAAAGCUUCGAAUCUCCGUGGGACUUUUCGGUUGUUCCCACUUCGUCACAGCUUCGAUCUUCGCUGGAUCAACCAUUAUCCCUUCUUGGUUGACCACGUGACCCAAGAAUUGGACCUCACGAAUCCAAAAAUCACAUUUGGAGAACUUCGCAUAAAGCUUCUCCUUCUUCAAAACUUCUAACACUUCUCGCAAGUGUCUGCCAUGCUCCUCCUGGCUUUUCGAGUAGAUCAGAAUGUCGUCUAUGAACACUAUCACGGAUUUAUCAAGGAAAGGAUUACAAACCCUAUUCAUCAAAUCCAUGAACGCUGCUGGAGCAUUGGUUAGUCCAAACGACAUAACCAAGAACUCGUAGUGUCCAUAUCUAGUUCUGAAUGCAGUCUUCUCGAUAUCUUGCUCUCUUACUUUCAGCUGAUGAUAUCCUGACCUAAGAUCGAUCUUCGAGAAAUAGCUCGAACCUUGCAAUUGAUCAAACAGGUCAUCAAUCCUCGGCAACGGAUAUCUAUUCUUUAUUGUUGCCUUGUUCAGCUCUCUGUAAUCGAUGCACAUUCUCAUACUUCCAUCUUUCUUCUUUACAAAUAACACCGGAGCUCCCCAGGGCGAUGAACUAGGUCUAAUGAAACCUUUGUCCAAUAACUCCUGAAGUUGCAUCAUCAGCUCCUUCAUCUCCGUCGGUGCUAAUCGAUAAGGUGCUUUUGCUAUUGGCGUGGUUCCUGGUAACAAGUCUAUUCUGAACUCCACUUGUCUAUCAGGUGGUAAUCCAGGAAGAUCCUCGGGAAAUACUUCCGGAUAAUCACACACCACUGGAAUGCUCUGCAUCACCUUCUUUUCUUUCUUAGCAUCAAUCACGAAUGCUAAAUAUGAUGUACAUCCCUUGGUCAAACACUUUCUGGCUUUCAUUAGAGAAAUGAUUCCAGAAUUCACUCUGCGUUUGUCCCCAUACACCAUAAACGAAUCUUUCCCAGGCGGGUUUACUUUAACUAUCUUCUUCUUGCACAAAAUUUCGGCAUCAUUGGCGCUAAGCCAAUCCAUUCCCAAGACGAUGUCGAAACCAUUUAGUUCGAUAGGCAAUAAUUCCUCGAGAAACUUAUUCCCAUUAAGGUCGAUCAAGACGUUUUUCAUACGAUGGCUAACAGGUACAAACUUGCCACUAGCUACUUCGACUAAUAAAGCAUUAUCUAGUCUAUCAACAGGCAAAGCUAGCUUUCUACCAAACUCAUGCGAAAUAAAGGAGUAGUUGGCUCCAGAAUCAAACAAUAUAUGAGCAGGUAAUUCGUUUACGAGAAAGGUACCUGAAGCGACAUCAGCUUCAUCUUUCGCAGCCUCAAGUGUCAUCUGGAAGGCUCUCGCCUUCGGCUUUGGUGGAAUGUUGGGCCUAGCUGCCUCCUUCUUCUUCGGACAGUCUUUCAAAAUAUGCCCCUCUUCAUUACACCCAAAACACAUCCUUUUGUUGUUCGGACAUUCAUUGGCAAAAUGUCCAACCUUUCCACACUUGUAGCAGGUCACAUCCUCGCUACAUUUCCCAAAGUGCUUUUUCUUACACUUAUCACACCACUUUGCUUCGCCUCCUUUUCCUCCAAACUUUUUCGAAUCAGAUUUCGAAAAUUUGCUCUUCUUACUGGAACCAGAUGUUCCUUCAAACUUCCUUUUCUCACCAACCUCAACCUUGACGGUGGUUCUCCCCUUGAUCAUGUUCUCCACAGACUUGGCAGCCCAGAUAGCUGCCUCUAGAGUAAGUGCCUGACGUACCGGCACCUCGUACUCCCAUGGAAGUCCCUUCGCAUACCGAUCCACCUUUGUCAGCUCGUCUGGAACGAUACGCAAGGCAAACUCCAUCUUAUCGGUGAAGUUAUUGGUGUACUCAUCCACUGACAUGCUACCCUUCGUCAAUGUCAAAAACUUGUUCUCCAACUCCAACAGAUUUUGAGCCGAGCAGAACUUGCGCUUGAACUGCACCAAGAACUCUGCCCAUGACAAUUGCAGUGGCUCAUUAGGGCUUAAGGUCUUCCCUAGAGUGUUCCACCAACGAACGGCUCCACCUCGGAAUUGUCGCACGGCAUAGAUAGUCUGCAACUUGCCUCUACAGCCACAUGUCAUAAAGGCUAACUCCAUUUCGGAGAUCCAAUCCAUAACCCCAAUCGGAUCCUCCUUUCCAUUGAAGGUCGAUGGUUUACAAGUCAAAAAGUCCUUGUACUUGCAUCCCAUUCCAUCAUUCCUUCCAUCAUGGUUAUCUUGCCUAACUAUCGGUGGGUUGGCUGGACCAACAGACCCACUGAAGUUUCCACCUUCCGAGUGCCCUUCAUUCAGUUCAGGCUCUUCCACACGAAUCGACAGUUCUUCACGAUUUUGUUGAAGCAACCGUCUAGUUUCAUCCAUCUGACGAUCCAACAUCGUCUGAAUCAUCAAUUGCACACCAGCCAUGGUUAUUGGCUCAGGUGCUGCUGCUACGACAGGUAUUGGCUCAAUCACUGGUGGUUGAUUCCUGUUUUCGUCAGCAUUUCCAACUCCACUUCUUGUUCUCACCAUUUUGAUCUACACCGAAUAAGGUGAAAUUAGAUCCUCAAUCAUGAUAGAUAUUCAAAUCAUCCUUAUCACUCCGAAACGUUUACAUGCUAGUUCUAAUAUCGUAGACGUACGCUUAGAAUCCUACACACAUAAGGUUUCUAGAUCCGGUCGGCAACAGACCAUAGAUCCGAACAAAUAAUAUCAUAUAUGGCAACAUAUAACAUUUAGCACAUAAAGCAUUUUAGGCAACUUUCCUAAAAUAAACUAGUGCUCGUGUCUAAAUCACAACAGACACACAUCUCAAAACUUCACUUAGCAUUCUAAGUUUAAGUCUAGAAAUCCUACAAAUUCCUAGUUCGCUUAAACUAAUGCUCUGAUACCAACUGUGACAUCCCCAAAAUCUCGGCCAGAAAAGACCGAUUUUCAUUUAUGCUUUUAAAUAUUUUCAGAGUAAAUCCUUUUGAUUUGAAAGAGUUGCGGAAUUUGUUCCCAAAAACAAAACAUGAUAAAACAUUGUUUACCGAAGCAUUUCAUAAAAGAAAUGUAUUUUCAUUAUAAUCAAAACUCGGGGUGUCAUGUUCCGAUACAGACCAAUAAGCAUAAACGAAUACAUUACAAGUCAUAUAACAAAUAUAAACAUAUGCAGACUUGUAAACAAAACAACUUGAUGGUUCAUCCAUCUCAUGCCCUUCCGCCACUACCUGUAAUACAAUUUAAAACUGAGUGGGUCAGGCUUGGGAGCCUGGUGAGCAUAUAGGGUUUUCAACCCACAAUAAAUAUCAUAUUUAAUUUUCACCAACCAACAAUAACCCAAUUACCCAUUCCCGUUAUUCUCACUUUAAUGUCCCUAAAACAACUAACAUAAGGGACCUAGUCUAAGAAUAUUUCAUCGGGGCGACAACACAUGCUUCGGGGGUACCUCAGCAAUAUAAGUCAAAUAAGGCAACCAUGAGGGGGAUGGAGUACAGCGAAUGAACACCCAAGUUCAUUAACACCUACAGGUGGCGAACCUGCUAAUGUUUCCACAAGACUGUCUAGAAUAGCCAGUGGUCGUCAUCUAAACUCCGCUAGAUGACUCAAUCAAACAACAACGAGGCCUCUCAUCUGUUUAUUACACACCAACUGUCUACCCAUGUUCUACCCAACAUAUUAGUAGAUAAAAAUAUACAUUUGUAUACAUAGUUUAAAGAAAACCUGUAUAGCAUGCUUUAAUCAACACAUAUAUCACAUAACAGAUGAGGCACACACACAUAACACAUAUCUCAUAAAGAAAUAAGCAGAUCUAUAAGAUAGAAGAGAGUGAAUACUCAUUCACACAUAACACAACCAAAUAUAUACACAUAGCACGUAUUUUUAUAUAAAAUACUUCGUAUUAUUGUAUUAGAAGAAAAUAACUACACACUCACUUGAUCAGAAGAUGAUCGGACAGCACUACGGCUUAUAGAAGUAGUAAUCCACAGCAGAUCUGGAAGAUCUUCUCAAAAAUCGAACUUCUCGCGGGCAGAGCUUCGACUCGGGAACCGCACUUCUCGGGAUCUUCGGGAUCUCGGGACUUGCCUCGGGGCUAGAGUAUAAUACCGGGGCUUCGGGGUGUAAAAAUGCAGAGCUUCGGCGCAAAGAUGAGAAGAAAUGAGCAAAUAAACCCUGAACCCUCGCAUCCUAUUUAUAGUGAAAAUAUCUGAUGUACUCGCCGAGUAGGGGACACCUACUCGCCGAGUUGGCCCAUACUCGCCGAGUAGGGAACACCUACUCGCCGAGUUGGCCCAUGUGGCGGCUUUCUGGUGGUGCCACGUGUCAAACUCUGGGUGGUGCCACGUCACCCCUAUCGCGUGUUAGCCUUCGAACUUAGAAAAAUCAUAACUUUCGCAUACGAGCUCCGUUUUUGACGUUCUUUAUAUCCACGCGUAGGUAAAAUCAAGAUCUACAACUUUCGUUUAGACUCCGUCGGCUAAAUCUUGACCGAU